rnacentral:snRNA from 1 species
GUGCUCACUUCAGCAGCAGAUAUACUAAAAUUGGAACAAUACAGAGAAAAUUAGCAUGGCCCCUUUGCAAGGAUGGUACGCAAAUUCGCAAAGUGUUCCACCAAAAA